rnacentral:rRNA from 1 species
UACGUAGGGAGCAAGCGUUUGUCCGGAAUCAUUGGGCGUAAAGCGCGCGUAGGCGGCCAGAUAAGUCCGGUGUGAAAGCCACAGGCUCAACCUGUGAAUGCCGCUGGAAACUGUCUGGCUAGAGUCCGGGAGGGGCGAGUGGAAUUCCUGGUGUAGCGGUGAAAUGCGCAGAUAUCAGGAGGAACACCAAUGGCGAAGGCAGCUCGCUGGAACGGAACUGACGCUGAGGCGCGAAAGCGUGGGGAGCGAACAGG